rnacentral:rRNA from 1 species
AUUGAACGCUGGCGGCAUGCCUUACACAUGCAAGUCGAACGGCAGCACGGGAGCAAUCCUGGUGGUGAGUGGCGAACGGGUGAGUAAUAUAUCGGAACGUGCCCAGUCGUGGGGGAUAACGUAGCGAAAGCUACGCUAAUACCGCAUACGAUCUAUGGAUGAAAGCGGGGGAUCGCAAGACCUCGCGCGAUUGGAGCGGCCGAUAUCAGAUUAGGUAGUUGGUGGGGUAAAGGCUCACCAAGCCGACGAUCUGUAGCUGGUCUGAGAGGACGACCAGCCACACUGGGACUGAGACACGGCCCAGACUCCUACGGGAGGCAGCAGUGGGGAAUUUUGGACAAUGGGCGCAAGCCUGAUCCAGCAAUGCCGCGUGCAGGAUGAAGGCCUUCGGGUUGUAAACUGCUUUUGUACGGAACGAAACGGCGAGCUCUAAUACAGUUUGCUAAUGACGGUACCGUAAGAAUAAGCACCGGCUAACUACGUGCCAGCAGCCGCUGUAA